GACGAACGCUGGCGGCGUGGAUUAGGCAUGCAAGUCGAACGGUAUCAUCCUUUCGGGGGUGAGAGAGUGGCGAACUGGUGAGUAACACGUAGGUUAUCUACCCUCAAGACGGGGACAACCCAGGGAAACUUGGGCUAAUACCGGAUGUGAGCAACUUUUAGUUGUUUGAAAGGUGGCGUAAGCUGUCGCUUGGGGAUGAGCCUGCGUCCUAUUAGUUAGUUGGUGAGGUAACGGCUCACCUAGGCAAUGAUAGGUAGGCGGCCUUAACGGGUGGUCGCCCACACUGGGAUUGAGAUACGGCCCAGACUCCUACGGGAGGCAGCAGUCGAGAAUAGUCUACAAUGGUCGGAAGACUGAUAGUGCGACGCCGCGUGAACGAUGAAUCCCUUCGGGGUGUAAAGUUCUUUUAUAUGUGAGCAGUGCUUCUUAUAUUUAACAGUAUGGGGAGAGAGAUAUUAGCAUAUGAAUAAGCAACGGCUAACUCCGUGCCAGCAGCCGCGGUAAACUGUAA
rnacentral:rRNA from 1 species